rnacentral:misc_RNA from 1 species
GAUGAAGAACGUAGCGAAAUGCGAUAAGUAGUGUGAAUUGCAGAAUUCAGUGAAUCAUCGAAUCUUUGAACGCACAUUGCGCCCUUUGGUAUUCCUUAGGGCAUGCCUGUUCGAGCGUCAUUUAAACCUUCAAGCUCAGCUUGGUGUUGGGUGACUGUCCGCUUCACCGCGGACUCGCCUCAAAAUUAUUGGCGGCCGGUACAUUGGCUUCGAGCGCAGCAGAAACGCGAACUCGGGCCCGUCGUAUUGGCUCCCAGAAGCUAUCUUCACAAUUUUGACCUCGGAUCAGGUAGGGAUACCCGCUGAACUUAAGCAUAUCAAUAAGCGGAGA